rnacentral:lncRNA from 1 species
AGGAAGGAAGUGAGUCAGAGUCGGAAGGGCCCGUGGGAAAGCUCAAAAGCUGGAGCUCGGGGUCGGGGUUUCAGCCCCUCCUUUGGCAUCCCUGCAAGCGCCGACCCCACGUAAGGAGGAAGCUGACGGAGCCGCAGGUGCUCGAGUGGGUUGUAAAGCAAUCAGGUGUCUGGCAGCAGAUGACGGGCUAGAGCUGCAUCGGGGCGGGCGGUGUGGCAUAACGCCGGAUCUGUCCUAGGCUGUGCCGGAGCGGGGACCUCAUCAGACAGAGUGCCGUGUCCAGUUGGGGCCCCGCAGCAGCCGGCGAGGGAGAGCGGGGCUCGUCCCUGCAACAGCAACCGAAACGCUCCACCUGGAGGUGAAAGCAAAUUAUAACGGGGGCUUUGUGGCCAGCUGGUGUUUUCAGAUCAGAAGCUGGACCAUAAAAAAAAAAAAAACGAAGGGCAGAUAUGCACGUCGUGUCAACCUGAAAAUGGAGCUCUGUUAAGGCAAAGGAGCUGUGAUGGGAAAGAAAGCUCUACCACCAUGAGCUCGCUCAGAUUUUGAGGCCAAAAGUG